rnacentral:rRNA from 1 species
UUGAUCCUGGCUCAGGACGAACGCUGGCGGCGUGCCUAAUACAUGCAAGUCGUACGCUUCUUUUUCCACCGGAGCUUGCUCCACCGGAAAAAGAAGAGUGGCGAACGGGUGAGUAACACGUGGGUAACCUGCCCAUCAGAAGGGGAUAACACUUGGAAACAGGUGCUAAUACCGUAUAACAAUCGAAACCGCAUGGUUUUGAUUUGAAAGGCGCUUUCGGGUGUCGCUGAUGGAUGGACCCGCGGUGCAUUAGCUAGUUGGUGAGGUAACGGCUCACCAAGGCCACGAUGCAUAGCCGACCUGAGAGGGUGAUCGGCCACAUUGGGACUGAGACACGGCCCAAACUCCUACGGGAGGCAGCAGUAGGGAAUCUUCGGCAAUGGACGAAAGUCUGACCGAGCAACGCCGCGUGAGUGAAGAAGGUUUUCGGAUCGUAAAACUCUGUUGUUAGAGAAGAACAAGGAUGAGAGUAACUGUUCAUCCCUUGACGGUAUCUAACCAGAAAGCCACGGCUAACUACGUGCCAGCAGCCGCGG